UACGUAGGGUGCGAGCGUUAUCCGGAAUUAUUGGGCGUAAAGAGCUCGUAGGCGGUUUGUCGCGUCUGUCGUGAAAGUCCGGGGCUUAACCCCGGAUCUGCGGUGGGUACGGGCAGACUAGAGUGCAGUAGGGGAGACUGGAAUUCCUGGUGUAGCGGUGGAAUGCGCAGAUAUCAGGAGGAACACCGGUGGCGAAGGCGGGUCUCUGGGCCGAUACUGACGCUGAGGAGCGAAAGCGUGGGGGAGCGAACAGG
rnacentral:rRNA from 1 species